AUUGAACGCUGGCGGCAGGCCUAACACAUGCAAGUCGAACGAGUGGCGGACGGGUGAGUUUUGUCUGGGAAACUGCCUGAUGGAGGGGGAUAACUACUGGAAACGGUAGCUAAUACCGCAUACCUUCAGAUGCGCCCAGAUGGGAUUAGCUUGUUGGUGGGGGAACGGCUCACCAAGGCGACGAUCCCUAGCUGGCAUGAGAGGAUGACCAGACACGCUUGAACUGAGACACGGUCCAGACUCCUACGGGAGGCAGCAGUGGGGAAUAGUGCACAAUGGGUGCAAGCCUGAUGCAGCCAUGCCGCGUGUAUGAAGAAGGCCUUCGGGUUGUAAAGUACUUUCAGCGGGGAGGCGUUACCCGCAGAAGAAGCACCGGCUAACACCGUGCCAGCAGCCGCGGUAAUUC
rnacentral:rRNA from 1 species